AUCACAUAUCAAGCAAGUGCGUUGGACUGUCUGGACGGGAGAAGCCAUCUGUAUCCACUCGCCUGGAGACAAAGCAAGAGGAAAGACAGGCAGAAUGAUAUUCAUUUACAAAACGAAGCAGUUCUACUGUAUUACAUGCAGAGCACGGCAUAGGGUGAUCAAAGACAAAAGCAGGACAUGAGCCUCGUGUAAGACCAAUGCAGAGGGUGAACCACCUCAGCAAUACCAUCAGUGCAAAACAGGUCUGCAUUCAAUUGGGUGGUCUUCAAUUCUUAAGACAAAUAGAUCUAUCUAAUAAUCUCUCUGUACUGUAUGCACAUAGUUUUAAAUAGAGGCUUGCAAUAUAGAGUAGAAUAUUUUCUAUGUUCUAGUAUAACACAAGAUGGCAUUGUACAAAACAAACAUGUCUCUCUUAAUAUAAUAGAAGCCUCUUUUAUAAGAGGCUUAUUCAGAAAGUGCAAUAAGACAGGCAAUGAAGUAAAUACGUAUUUACUAUAGCUAAGCCUUCCUUUUCAUUUCACAGACACUACUUGUCUUAGGAAGGUGUAGUAGGAUCCCUCAGGAUUACAAACUGAGAGCUACUUAUGACACAAACAGGCACAUUCCACCUCCUCAGCUGUAAGGUCAACCAUGACUAUGCAAGGCACAAUACACUAUCCAUGCUGAGAGUUAGGCGUCGCCUAAACAAAAUAAUGGAUGAGCACCACCCUGAAGCCAAACUAGAAGUGGUCAUCCAAUCACAUGGACACUGCUCAAUAAGGAAUGGAAUGGAGAUCACUGAUGUUAGAAGUCUCUGAUCCAUCUCUCUACACACACACAGCCAGACAAACUCCCCCAGCCCUUCAUUCCUUUUAAGUUAACUGCAGGAAGAGAAUCGUCCUCUACAGUCAGUCUUCUGAGCUUUUCUAGAGCCAGUCUAAUGAAGGGACAACAAUCCCCCUGGCUGUGUGUCUGGGCUAUGGGAUCUCAGGCUUAGCACGCCAUUGUAGAGGUGCCUUCAGUCUGCGGAGGGAAAGGCUACCUUUCUCAGACAGCCACUCCCCUACUGGCAGAUCUAGGGAGAAGUACUGAUGAGCUGCCCAGCUGUCCUUCCAGUGCAGAGCGAGCUGCUGCCAGGGAUGUUUCUGGGGUUCGCAGCUCGAGCUACAGUGAACCAUGACUCAGUCCGGAAGAAGUACUGCAGAUUACAUUUAACACAAAUGCCAUGAAGUCUUCCAUACACUUAUAUGGACAGUUAAGGUUUUGGCUGUACCCAACACCAUGAGCAGCUGCUCUGACUUCAGUCAGACAAUCAAGCAUUUCUUUGGACCAAUUCACUGCACACGGGUCUUUUAAUUGGGUGAAAAGUUUCUAAUUUCUGAGAAAUAAGCUUUAUGAUAAGAAUGGACUUGUCAAACCCUGCCUUUGUCUCUCUGCAUUGAAAGCACUGUAUUGCUUUGUUCAUUUUAGAUAUAAGGAAUUGUGUUUCAAUUUUCUACCCAAUAUAAAAUAUGUCGGUUAUUCUAUAGGACGAGAACCAUACCCAGCA